AUGGCCGGCGUCGGGUCGGCGGUGCGGCGGCUCUACCUCUCCGUCUACAACUGGGUCGUCUUCUAUGGAUGGGCGGAGGUGCUGUACUACGUGGUGACGGCGCUGCUGGGGGGCGGCCAUGAGGGCAUCUACGCCGCCGUCGAGCGCCCGCUGCAGCUCGCGUAGACCGCCGCCGUCAUGGAGAUUCUUCAUGGGCUUGUAGGGUUGGUGAGGUCUCCGGUCUCUGCCACUCUUCCGCAAAUAGGAUCAAGAUUGUUUCUUACAUGGGGCAUCUUGUGGAGCUUUCCUGAGACACAAUCUCAUAUUCUUGUAACUUCUUUGGUCAUAAGCUGUAAUGUAACUCAUCCUGUCUCUUGUGUAGGGUGCACGAAUGCCACUUCUUCCACCAGCGACCCUCCCCUCUACGCCCAGCCUGUGGAACACUUCGACGCCAUCUUUGGAACCGUCAAUGCCUUCCUGAAAGUAGCACCUCCUUGUCCCUCUCCAUCCUCCAUUCCCCUGCAGUUCCAUUUUUUCUUGAAGUCAUCCUGCAUACCUGCAUAA
rnacentral:rRNA from 1 species